GAACGGGCAUAGCAAUAUGUCAGUGGCAAACGGGUGAGUAAUACAGAGGAAUCUACCUAGCAGUAAGGAAUAACCCUGGGAAACCAGAGCUAAUGCCAUAUAUUACCCUUCGGGGGAAAGAUUUAUCGCUGUUAGAUGAGCCUCUGCCGGAUUAGCUAGUUGGUAGGGUAAUGGCCUACCAAGGCAAUGAUCCGUAGCUGGUCUGAGAGGAUGAUCAGCCACACUGGAACUGAGACACGGUCCAGACUCC
rnacentral:rRNA from 1 species